rnacentral:rRNA from 1 species
AUUGAACGCUGGCGGCAGGCUUAACACAUGCAAGUCGAGCGGGGGAAGGUAGCUUGCUACUGGACCUAGCGGCGGACGGGUGAGUAAUGCUUAGGAAUCUGCCUAUUAGUGGGGGACAACAUCUCGAAAGGGAUGCUAAUACCGUAUACGUCCUACGGGAGAAAGCAGGGGAUCUUCGGACCUUGCGCUAAUAGAUGAGCCUAAGUCGGAUUAGCUAGUUGGUGGGGUAAAGGCCUACCAAGGCGACGAUCUGUAGCGGGUCUGAGAGGAUGAUCCGCCAAACUGGGACUGAGACACGGCCCAGACUCCUACGGGAGGCAGCAGUGGGGAAUAUUGGACAAUGGGGGGAACCCUGAUCCAGCCAUGCCACGUGUGUGAAGAAGGCCUUAUGGUUGUAAAGCACUUUAAGCGAGGAGGAGGCUACUUUAGUUAAUACCUAGAGAUAGUGGACGUUACUCGCAGAAUAAGCACCGGCUAACUCUGUGCCAGCCGCCGCAGUAA